rnacentral:lncRNA from 1 species
UGGUGUUGGUAGUAGUUGUAAUGAUUAUGGUAGUGAUAGCAGUUUAGUGAUGGUGGUGGUGGUAGUAUUCGUAGUAAUGAUGAUGGUAGUGAUAGCAGUUUAGUGACGGUGAAGGUAAUAGUAAUGAUGAUUGUAGUGACACCAGUUUAGUGGUGGUGGUAGUGAUAGCAGUUAAGUGAUGGUGGUGGUAGUAAUAGUAAUGAUGAUGGUAGUGAUAGCAGUUUAGUGACGUGGUGGUAGUAGUAGAAUUGAAGAUGGUAGUGAUAGCAGUUUAGUGAUGGUGGUAGCAGUAGUAAUGAUGAUGGUAGAGAUAGCAGUUUAGUGAUGGUGGUGGUGGUGGUGGUAGUAGUAGUAAUGAUGAUGGUAGUGAUAGCAGUUUAGUGAUGGUGGUGGUAGUACUACUAAUGAUGAUGGUAUUGAAAGCAGUUUAGUGAAGGGUGGUGGUGGUGGUAGUAGUAGUAAUGAUGAUGGUAGUGAUAGCAGUUUAGUGAUUGCUGUGGUAGUAGUAAUGAUGAUGGUAGUGAUAGCAGUUUAGUGAUGGUGGCGGUAGUAGUAGUAAUGAUGAUGGUAGUGAUAGCAGUUUAGUGAUGGUGGUGGUAGUAGUUGUAAUGAUGAUGGUAGUGAUAGCAGUUUAGUGACGGUGGUAGCAGUAGUAAUGAUGAUGGUAGUUAUAGCAGUUUAGUGAUGGUGCUGUUGGUAGUAGUAGUAAUGAUGAUGGUAGUGAUAGCAGUUUAGUGAUGGUUGUGGUAGUAGUAGUAAUGAUGAUGUUAGUGAUAGCCGUUUAGUGAUGGUCGUGGUAGUAGUAGUAAUGAUGAUGGUAGUGAUAGCAGUUUAGUGAUGGUGGUGGUAGUAGUAGUAAUGAUGAUGGUAGUGAUAGCAGUUUAGUGAUGGUUGUUGUAGUAGUAGUAAUGAUGAUGGUAGUGAUAGCCGUUUAGUGAUGGUGGUGGUGUCGGUCGUAAUGAUGAUGGUAGUGAUAGCAGUUUAGUGAUGGUGGUGGUAGUAGUAGUAAUGAUGAUGGAAGUGAUAGCAGUUUAGUGAUGGUGGUGGUGGUAGUAGUAAUAAUGAUGAUGGCAUUGAUAGCA